rnacentral:rRNA from 1 species
CAAUAGCGUAUAUUAAAGUUGUUGCAGUUAAAAAGCUCGUAGUUGGACCUUGGACCUGGACAGGCGGUCCGCCUCACGGCGAGUACUGUCUUGCUGGGUCUUUCCUCUUGGUGAUCUGUUGUUUCGGCAGCAGGGAACCAGGACCUUUACUUUGAAAAAAUAAGAGUGUUCAAAGCAGGCUCGACGCCGGAAUAUAUUAGCAUGGAAUAAUAAAAUAGGACGUGCGGUUCUAUUUUGUUGGUUUUUGGAAUCGCCGUAAUGAUUAAUAGGGACAGUCGGGGGCAUUAGUACUCACAUGCUAGAGGUGAAAUUCUUGGAUUUUGUGAAGACUAACUUCUGCGAAAGCAUUUGCCAAGGAUGUUUUCAUUA